UAAUUUUUUAAUGCAUUUUGUAUGAUAUUUUUAAAUAAAAUACUCUUUGAAGAUUUUUUGUAAAUUACAUUUUAUAUUCAUUUAAGUCUAAACAAAAGUUACUUUAAUUAUUGCCAGGUUGUGUGUUUUUGCAGGUCAAUUAUUUGGCACAAAUCGGAGUUAAAGACAAAGGAGAUUAUAUAUUUUAUUUGCUAAGAAUAGUUUUUUAAAAUGGCCUAGUUGUAAAAUUAAACUAUGCAGGGAGAGGACAAAAAAUUGGAAUAGAAAAAAUAUUGAUUGCAUAUGCUGCUAUUGAAUCUGUGAAGUCAAAUAAGCAUGGCUUAUGCAGACAUGUGAUAGAGAUAGAGGAAGAAAAAAUAAUAGACGUGGGCACCAAAUAUCAAAAGCUAAACAAUAUUCAAUAACAAGUAGCUCAGCCAAUAUCGAAACUACUCUAUAAAUUUUAUAGUUAAUUUUUUUAUUUAAAA